GUUAUCUUUAUUGGAGGGAAAGAACCCAGUGGGAUCCCUUUGAACGGCGAGUGAAGCGGUAAAAGCUCAAAUUUGAAAUCUGUACUUUCAGUGCCCGAGUUGUAAUUUGUAGAAUUUGCCCUUGAUGAGGUCCUUGUCUAUGUUCCUUGAGCAGGACGUCAUAGAGGGUGAGAAUCCCGUUUGUCGAGGAUACCUUUUCUUUCUAUACUUUUUAGAAGAGUCGAGUUGUUUGGGAAUGCAGCUCAAAGAGGGGGGUAAAUUCCAUCUAAAGCUAAAUAUUGGCGAGAGACCGAUAGCGAACAAGUACAGUGAUGGAAAGAUGAAAAGAACUUUGAAAAGAGAGUGAAAAAGUACGUGAAAUUGUUGAAAGGGAAGGGCAUUUGAUCAGACAUGGUGUUUUUUGCAUGCACUCGCCUCUCGUGGGCUUGGGCCUCUCAAAAAUUUCACUGGGCCAACAUCAAUUCUGGCAGCAGGAUAAAUCAUUAAGAAUGUAGCUACUUCGUAGUGUUAUAGCUUUUUGGAAUACUGUUAGCCGGGAUUGAGGACUGCGCUUCGGCAAGGAUGUUGGCAUAAUGGUUAAAUGCCGCCCGUCUUGAACACGGACCAAA
rnacentral:rRNA from 1 species